UUCCAUCUAUGUGAACCCGGAGAGAAGGAGAACGACUCGCCAGGGUUAAACCUCCAACUCCGGUCACUGUAGUGGCUGCUGGUUGCAAGGGCCAGUGUUGAGGCCAACAACUAGGGCUGAUAAUGCUAGAGUCCGCUCCAGUGUCUAACAAGCCUGAGAAUGACCUUUUCUGUCCUUGAAAUUCCACUUCCACUCUUUUCCUGGGUCUCUCAGAAAGAUUCAGAGUCAGCAAGGUGAGACCUCCAGUGGACCCAAAACUCUUUUCACCCCUCUCUUGUCCUUUUAUUGUUUGUAAUCCCUUAGUCAUUUGCUCCAGUGGCACCAAUUGAGCAAUUCUCUGUCCUUUAUUAAUUUGGCGUGGUGGGAAAGGUGUAUGCACCAUAACCAUAAUUUCUCCUGUAUAAUCUGCAUCAAUGACACCAGGUAAAACAAAUAAUCCAAGCAUAGACGCAGAUGACCUCCCUAAGAGCAAAGCACCCACCGUUCGACCCUGUAUAACAACAGGUCCCUGAAUCCCCGUCGGGAUUUUUUGUGGGUGUGGAGUCAUCAGUGUAACCUCUACUGCCGCUGCCACGUCCAAGCUGAGGCUUCCUGUGGUGGCGGGUUGGAGACAGGGGAGGUUGGUAGUGCUGCAGCGACGCCUUGUGUCGGAGCGCGGCCACUGCAAUUCGCGCUCCUGGAGGAGUUUCCCGACUUCCGCCGACAAGCGCCUGUAUUGUGAGUAUCCGAGCGGCAUUUCUGACACCAGAUCCCUGUUGCUUGGCAUUCCCGACGCAUGUGACCCAUGCCUCCGCAUCGGUAACAUCUCAUCCGAUUUCCUGUCGGAGCCGGGCCCCUCAAGGUCUCGGCAGCACGUAUCGGCCAGGCUCGUCUGUACGGACACCCAGGGCACGGCGCGUCUUAACUCUUCUUUUUCGCGCUUUUUUGCUGUCCCGGCUGCUUCGGGACCCGACCCGGUCGUCGCUCGUCCGUGGUGUCUGGCAAGGAUCACGUCGUAGGGGUCACCAUUUGACGGAGUCGACGGGAGACAAGCACAUCCGAUGAUGAUCAACAAGUCUCAAUUUAUUGAUUUAACAUGCGUGCUCUUAUAACAGUGAUAAUAAGGCUCAUACAUAUUGCAAAACUAAAGCUCACUAUUGGUUCGCUAUAAAA